rnacentral:misc_RNA from 1 species
UCACGGUUUACACCGGCAGUUUCGCUAGAGUGCCCAGCUUGACCUGAUGGCAACUAACGAUAAGGGUUGCGCUCGUUGCGGGACUUAACCCAACAUCUCACGGCACGAGCUGACGACAGCCAUGCAGCACCUGUCUUGGCGUUCCCUUGCGGGCACUUCCCUGUUUCCAGGGAAUUCGCCAGAUGUCAAACCCAGGUAAGGUUCUUCGCGUAGCAUCGAAUUGAACCACAUGCUCCACCGCUUGUGCGGGCCCCCGUCAAUUCCUUUGAGUUUUAAUCUUGCGACCGUACUUCCCAGGCGGGACACUUAAUGCGUUAGCGGCGGCACCGAGGGAGUGGAUACCCCCGACACCUAGUGCCCAUCGUUUACGGCGUGGACUAC